rnacentral:rRNA from 1 species
UACGUAGGAGGCGAGCGUUGUCCGGAGUUACUGGGCGUAAAGGGUGCGCAGGCGGCGGUUCGCGUGGCGAGAUGAAAUCUCCUGGCUUACCUGGGAGGAUGGUCGCCAGACGGGAUCGCUUGAGGGUCGGAGAGGGGCGUGGAAUUCCGGGUGGAGCGGUGAAAUGCGUAGAGAUCCGGAGGAACACCGACGGCGUAGGCAGCGCCCUGGACGACACCUGACGCUGAGGCACGAAAGCUGGGGGAGCGAAACAGGAUUAGGAAUACCCUUGGU